CCCUGGUUAGCUUAGUUGGUAGAGCACUCCACCAGUAAUAGAGAGGUCCCGGGUUCGAUACCCGGAUCCGGCG
rnacentral:tRNA from 2 species